rnacentral:rRNA from 1 species
UGCCAGCCGCCGCGGUAAUACGGAUGGUGCAAGCGUUGUUCGGAAUCACUGGGCAUAAAGCGCGCGUAGGCGGCGGCAUCAGUCAGAUGUGAAAUCCCUCGGCUCAACCGAGGAACUGCAUCUGAUACUGUGCUGCUAGAGUGCGGGAGGGGAGAACGGAAUUCCUGGUGGAGCGGUGAAAUGCGUAGAUAUCAGGAGGAACGCCGGAGGCGAAAGCGGUUCUCUGGCCCGCCACUGGCGCUGAGGUGCGAAAGCUAGGGGAGCAAACAGGAUUAGAUA